ACGCACGCUGGCGGCGCGCCUAACACCUGCAAGUCGCACGGAGCUGAGAGAAGCUUGCUUUUCUUAGCUUAGUGGCGAACGGGUGAGUAACGCGUGAGUAACCUGCCCUGGAGUGGGGGACAACAGUUGGAAACGACUGCUAAUACCGCAUAAGCCCACGAUCCGGCAUCGGAUUGAGGGAAAAGGAUUUAUUCGCUUCAGGAUGGACUCGCGUCCAAUUAGCUAGUUGGUGAGGUAACGGCCCACCAAGGCGACGAUUGGUAGCCGGACUGAGAGGUUGAACGGCCACAUUGGGACUGAGACACGGCCCAGACUCCUACGGGAGGCAGCAGUGGGGGAUAUUGCACAAUGGGGGAAACCCUGAUGCAGCGACGCCGCGUGGAGGAAGAAGGUUUUCGGAUUGUAAACUCCUGUCGUUAGGGACGAUAAUGACGGUACCUAACAAGAAAGCACCGGCUAACUACGUG
rnacentral:rRNA from 1 species